CACGUAGGCGGAUCUUUAAGUCAGGGGUGAAAUCCCGGAGCUCAACUCCGGAACUGCCUUUGAUACUGAGGGUCUCGAGUCCGGGAGAGGUGAGUGGAACUGCGAGUGUAGAGGUGAAAUUCGUAGAUAUUCGCAAGAACACCAGUGGCGAAGGCGGCUCACUGGCCCGGUACUGACGCUGAGGUGCGAAAGCGUGGGGAGCAAACA
rnacentral:rRNA from 1 species